AGAGAAGAUACUUUGCUUAAGUUGGCACACUUCAGGCGGCACAAGAGGAAAACAUUGAAGAAGACUCAAGGGAAAAGUACAAAUUAUCCUUUCCACAAGCCUGAGGAAAACCAUCCUCCUGGAAAGGAUGAUACAAAAAAAAUCUCUAACCUGAUAGGAAAAGCUGCCAAGUAUGCUAGUUCAGCAAAAUCCAAGAAGGUAAAGUUCCAAACAACAUUGCAGUUUAAUAUGAAAGCUUUUUUUCUUUCUUUCUUUCUUUCUUUUUUUAAUGGGUGAAAACUGUUAAAAUCUGCACAUUGAAGGAUGAUGGCUGGUGGUUGGAAAAUAUGUGCUACUUUAUUAUUUCUACUAUAUUGACAUCAAUUGAAUUCAAAGUGUGCUACUAAUAUCUAAUUGAGACAAGUUUACUCUUCUUAUUGGAAUGUUGUUGAACUUUAAUAUGAAUUCAAGUUCAUUAACUAAUGAUGUGGAAUAAAUCUAUUAAGGUUAGUGGGAGUUUAAGGAGUUCCAUAGCCAUUUAAUCAAAUGGGGAGUGGACAUUGCACAUGGUUUUGGCUCAAGUCUUGAGUACUAUCAUUCCUGAAUUAAAAAACUAAAUGAUGGAAGUUAAAUAAGGUUUCUCUACUGGUUUUAUGAUAUAAUAGUUGUUAAUGUGCUUGAUAUAAAUUGGUGGCUCACUAUCUAAUAGCUUAAGCUUUUGGGAAUAUUGAUAGCUUAACAGAGUAUCCAAGCCUUAUUUAGUGGGAAGUUACAAGUUUGAAACUCAUCGCAUGUUUAUUUCUCCUAAUUUUAUUUAGUCUACAUGCAAAUGAGCUUGAUAUGCAUUGUUAGCCCAUUACCUAAUAACUUCUAGAAAAUUGGUAGCUUAAUUACUGUAUUAGUAAGAAUAUCAAUAACCACUUUCUUGCACUGGUGAGUUUAUCUUGCAUAAACCAUGUCAUAACCUGUUUUACUUUCUUGAUGUAGCCGUUGCCUUAUGUUCCUACCAUAACAAACUACACUCAACUCUGGUGGGUUCCUAAUGUUGUUGUGGCUCAUCAAAGGGAAGGAAUAGAAGCUGUUCACUUGCCCACUGGUCGCACUAUCUG
rnacentral:lncRNA from 1 species